rnacentral:rRNA from 1 species
CAGUCGCCGCGGGAAUACGGAGGGUGCAAGCGUUAAUCGGAAUUACUGGGCGUAAAGCGCACGCAGGCGGUUUGUUAAGUCAGAUGUGAAAUCCCCGAGCUUAACCUGGGAACUGCAUUUGAAACUGGCAGGCUAGAGUCUUGUAGAGGGGGGUAGAAUUCCAGGUGUAGCGGUGAAAUGCGUAGAGAUCGGGAGGAACAUCAGUGGCGAAGGCGGCCAUCUGGGACAACACUGACGCUGAGGCACGAAAGCGUGGGGAGCAAACAGGAUUAGAUACCCGAGUAGUCCCUGUCUCUUAUAA